AUUGAACGCUGGCGGCAGGCUUAACACAUGCAAGUCGAGCGGGGGAAGGUAGCUUGCUACCGGACCUAGCGGCGGACGGGUGAGUAAUGCUUAGGAAUCUGCCUAUUAGUGGGGGACAACAUCUCGAAAGGGAUGCUAAUACCGCAUACGUCCUACGGGAGAAAGCAGGGGAUCUUCGGACCUUGCGCUAAUAGAUGAGCCUAAGUCGGAUUAGCUAGUUGGUGGGGUAAAGGCCUACCAAGGCGCCGAUCUGUAGCGGGUCUGAGAGGAUGAUCCGCCACACUGGGACAGAGCCACGGCCCAGAGUCAUACGAGCGGCAGCAGUGGGGAAUAUUGGACAAUGGGAGGAACCCUGAUCCAGCCAUGCCGCGUGUGUGAAGAAGGCCUUAUGGUUGUAAAGCACUUUAGGCGAGGAGGAGGCUACUCUAGUUAAUACCUAGGGAUAGUGGACGUUACUCGCAGAAUAAGCACCGGCUAACUCUGUGCCAGCCGCCGCGGUAA
rnacentral:rRNA from 1 species